AGCGAACGCUGGCGGCAGGCUUAACACAUGCAAGUCGAACGGGCAUCUUCGGAUGUCAGUGGCAGACGGGUGAGUAACACGUGGGAACGUACCCUUCGGUUCGGAAUAACUCAGGGAAACUUGAGCUAAUACCGGAUACGCCCUUUUGGGGAAAGGUUUACUGCCGAAGGAUCGGCCCGCGUCUGAUUAGCUUGUUGGUGGGGUAUCGGCCUACCAAGGCGACGAUCAGUAGCUGGUCUGAGAGGAUGAUCAGCCACACUGGGACUGAGACACGGCCCAGACUCCUACGGGAGGCAGCAGUGGGGAAUAUUGGACAAUGGGCGCAAGCCUGAUCCAGCCAUGCCGCGUGAGUGAUGAAGGCCUUAGGGUUGUAAAGCUCUUUUGUCCGGGACGAUAAUGACGGUACCGGAAGAAUAAGCCCCGGCUAACUUCGUG
rnacentral:rRNA from 1 species